CUGGGAACAAGAAGCCCCCCAGCCCGCCGCCAUGAUGGGAAAGAGGGAGCGCCCUUCCCAGCAAUCCGCACGGCCCGACACUUCAGAAACACUUCCCUGAUGAGACAUGAUGGAUGCAGGGAUGAAGCCCUUCUGCGUGUCAAUAUGGUGCAAGAGUUAACCCUUCUUUUUGGUCUGUGCCUGCCUUCUGGCUAGAAACAGUUAGGAUAGAUUAAAUGUUCCUUAUCCAAGCUUCUCAAGUAACUUGGCCAUCCAACUUCAGCUUAAAAACCUUUGGAGAAGGAGAACCCACCACAUUUUGAGGCAGCACAUUCCACUGCCGAACAUCUCAACAUCUGAAAGUACUUCCUAAUGUUUACAUGGAAUCUUUUUUCUUACAAUUUGAAUCCAACGCUCUGUGUCCCAAUCUCCAAAACAGUCUUCAUUUCCGAAUUGAAAAAUAUGUUUUCUCUACUCUCUCAAUCUCUGUGUUUAUGUUUAAAUGAUAAAAUGUACAUGUUUAAAUAAUAAGCUGUAACUGUGGUUGGUACUUAAUGCAUAGCAUGUAAUGACUUCAAGGGUACACUGAUCUUUGCUUUCCAAUUUUGGCUCCAAAAUGUCAGGGUCUGAGGUAGGCCCCACCUUUAAUCCCCACAUUUAAUCCCUAGUGCAACCAUCUAGGGAUUAAAGGUGGGGCCUACCCCAGACCCUGAGAUAUCUGAGACUUAGAAAUGACUCCUUCUGAUGUCACAGGAAGGUGACCCUAGUGAUGUUACAAUGAUUAUAUUUAAAGAGUAGUUUCUAGAGAUGUAAUGAAGUACAACCAUCAACCACCAAUGCAUGUGGUAAAAUGUAAAGCCCCAAAUUAAACAAAUGGGUAAAAUGUUUAUACAGUAUAUGCUUUUCAAGGCAAUACUCUUGCCCUAGAAUUCCCCCCCCCCCCCACGCCAUGAGAAGAGAGCCAGAGAAAAGGGACCAGACUUACAGAUUCACAAUAGGGUCCUGAGAACUGGGAAGCCAAGCAACCACUAGUAAUUCCCCUCUCUUUCAUCCGAUCCUCUUCUGUGGGUCAUAGAAUUCAGGACCUUUCCAGACAGGCCCAAAAAUAUGGUGCCUGAUGCACUUGUACAUUGUUUUACAUUUUAAGGGCUUCUUUUUGAGGGGUUUUGGGUGGUCACAUGCAUUCCUGGUAGUUUUGGAGAUGGCAUGGGGAUGCCCCCCCCCCGGAAUGCCCUGGUUUUUGGGGUGAGUGUGAGGACUCAAAUCCAUGCCAAAGAGGGUUUUUUAAACCAGGUUUGGCAUGGAUUUGAGUGCUGUCUGGAAGUGCCCUCAGUAGUAAGAAGAUCUUCUGCCGUCUAGUGAAAAAUGGGUAUUGUGAUCCUUGACAAUUUGUUUGCAAUACAGUUCUUUUGGGGCUUUUGGGUAUCUAAUCUUGAUCACCUCCCACCAGCCAGUUUCACCCACCACUAACUCCUCCCCCCAACUCCAUAGUAAAGUAAUACUGCCUGGAGGGCUGCCUGCAUGCCAGCAAUAAAAAUUUCUGUCAAACUACAAGGUAAAAGGCAACAUUUUUGAACUGGAUUAAAGCCCCAAAAGAACUGUAUUGCAAGCACAUUGACGAGGAUUACAAUGUGCUUUGAUUUUCCCCAAAGUAUACACAAGUCCUUUGUUAACUGAAAUAUGCCUGCACUUAGCUUAUGCAUUACUUUUAUCAUUAGUUCAAUUUGGGAUGACAAAUUGGGCAUAGCAAGUAUCUACACUCACUCAUGUCACCUCAGACACAAUACAGAUCAGAAAAUGUAGUAUCAUACAGAAUUUUUUUCAUAAGUGUCAAUAAGCCAAAGAAGCUCCUCUACCCUAGCUAAUCCCACCAAAGCUGCAUGUAGCUGCCUACAAUAUCAAGGUAAAUCACAACUGCCUCCAGAAUCCCUGUCUGACCAUAUAUGAAUUACAAAGCAGAGAAAAUAGGGGAUACCAGUUAAGUCUGCUUCACCACCUCCCCCGCCAUGUUAAAAAUACAUAUAUCUUAAGACCACAAUGGAAAUCAUAAAACAAGUAAAACAAAUCCACCGGAAGGCUUUUUGUAAGAAGCCUAUGAGAAUCUCUAGAAAGUUCAUAAUGUUUUUCUUUAUUUAUACAAAGCUUACCCGACCUAGUUGUUUAAUUUCACAUGUGCAUGUUGUUGGUUUUGGAUAAAGGGUUUGUCGAAACAUGUUGAACUUCUCUUCUUUUUGUGGUGCAUGAAACUGUAUUUAUUCUUUCCAGGUUAUUUCUACACACAAUACAACAUUUUCUGUUAAAGAAUACAUAGAAAUGCAUUUACAUUGUUAACUGGUGUAUAUCUGAACAUUAUUCACCAGAAUUGUUAAAUUAUAAUAACUUACUACUAAGUAUGGUGUGCUAGCAAAUAAUUGAUACAUCUGUAUUGGAUCCAGAAGGAUAUCAAAAUAAAUUUAAAAAGCAAUAA